CAAAGAAUAUUUGGUAAUCAUGGAGGCCUACCACUACCUGAAUUUAAUGAUACUCUUGAGACAAUGCACUCUAUUAUUUUUCUAUAGAAUCAAGCUAACAAAGUGGGAAUUGAGGUUAAAGGGAGAGUAUAAUAGUGUGAAUGAGGUAUAUAUGAGAAUUCAUGUGGUUUUUCUCGGAGGUCUACCAAGUAAGGAAAGAUUCUCUCUCAUUUGAGAUUUCUUUAAAUUAAUACAUUUUUCUUUUUUUGUUAUAGUCUAGUAAGGUGCUUUGAUCCAUCCCUCUUCGCUUAAUUUAUUUUAGGUUUAAUUGAUCUGUCGGUCCCUUAACUUAUUUCUUUUAUUCAGUUUGGUCCUAUAAAUCUUACAUUUCUCAAAUACGUCUCUUAACUUAUUUCUUUUAUUCAAUUUGGUCCAAUUUUGAUAAUUUUAAUCCCC
rnacentral:lncRNA from 1 species